rnacentral:rRNA from 1 species
CCAGACUCCUACGGGAGGCAGCAGUAGGGAAUCUUCCGCAAUGGACGCAAGUCUGACGGAGCAACGCCGCGUGAGUGAUGACGGCCUUCGGGUUGUAAAGCUCUGUUAAUCGGGACGAAAGGCCUUCUUGCGAAUAGUGAGAAGGAUUGACGGUACCGGAAUAGAAAGCCACGGCUAACUACGUGCCAGCAGCCGCGGUAAUACGUAGGUGGCAAGCGUUGUCCGGAAUUAUUGGGCGUAAAGCGCGCGCAGGCGGAUAGGUCAGUCUGUCUUAAAAGUUCGGGGCUUAACCCCGUGAUGGGAUGGAAACUGCCAAUCUAGAGUAUCGGAGAGGAAAGUGGAAUUCCUAGUGUAGCGGUGAAAUGCGUAGAUAUUAGGAAGAACACCAGUGGCGAAGGCGACUUUCUGGACGAAAACUGACGCUGAGGCGCGAAAGCCAGGGGAGCGAACGGGAUUAGAUACCCCGGUAGUCCUGGCCGUAAACGAUGGGUACUAGGUGUAGGAGGUAUCGACCCCUUCUGUGCCGGAGUUAACGCAAUAAGUACCCCGCCUGGGGAGUACGACCGCAAGGUUGAAACUCAAAGGAAUUGACGGGGGCCCGCACAAG